UACGUAGGGGGCUAGCGUUGUCCGGAAUCAUUGGGCGUAAAGAGCGUGUAGGCGGUCCGGUAAGUCCGCUGUGAAAGUCGGGGGCUCAACCCUCGAAUGCCGGUGGAUACUGUCGGGCUAGAGUGCGGAAGAGGCGAGUGGAAUUCCUGGUGUAGCGGUGAAAUGCGCAGAUAUCGGGAGGAACACCGGUGGCGAAGGCGGGUCUCUGGGCCGGAUACUGACGCUGAGGAGCGAAAGCGUGGGGAGCGAACAGG
rnacentral:rRNA from 1 species